CAUUCAUCUGCUGCCUGUGGUUGGUGACUGACACUAAAUCAAGGCUCAGACACAUUAAACCACUAAUUACUGUUGAUUUCUUCAUCUAUUCUUUCUUUUCUCCAGGGCAAUAUGGAUAUAUGGGAAUAUAUCCAUAUGCGCGUGCUGCCUUUGGGCAUACUUCUACCCCAGUCCUGUAGCACAGCUUGGUGCAAGAUGGAGGAGGUGCAAAGCUGGUGUAAAUCUCACCUGGCUCAGGAGCAUCAUUUCAACUGCUCAGGGGGCUCCAGAAGCUAAACUUUGGCAAACAGGGAUCAGUGACCAGGGCAGCCUGGGCACAAACAAAACUUCUUUGCUCUUCAGCAAUGAAUAACUUCAUCUGAGCUGAAGCAAGACUGGAGGAAGGCUGAUAAAAAGCAAUCCAAAGGUCCCCAGUGGAUCCAACCUGUCAGCUCUGACUGUGCACAGGGAUGAGAUGCCCUCAGCAGUGUGAGGUUUGAUCAGACCCAUCCAAACACAGAGAUAAGACAAUCUUCUUCAAUAAUUGAAGUGGUAUUAAGGUCAGGCCUCUCACUUUUAGUGCUUUUCAACUCUCUUGCCACUUAUUUCCUUUCUCUUUGCAGAGAAAUUACACUUCUCUCGGUUUGGCAUUUGUUCUGCUCUGUGCCAGGGGCUCCCAGCAGCUCCAGCACAGCCUGACCUCCCAGAGCAGUGGGAAUAUCAUCACUUGUUUUCAUGGAGACUAGAGGAAAGGGAUAAAUAAAUGUGGCUAGGAACAGCAAGGCUUCACCUGCUGCCUGCAGGAUAAACCAGGGGGAGCCAUGGUCUGGUUGUGAGGUUACACAAAGAAGAGGGGACAGCCCCAGGUGUUGUCCCUGUCUCUGUGUCACCAGGGCCAUGGCUGCUGCUGUGGGAUUUGUGUGGCCUCAUCAUUCCCAAGGGAUGGGGAGCAAACCCCAACCCAUGUGCUGCUUCACCAGGGCUGCCCCUCAAGAACCAACGUGGUGGGCUUGGAGCAACCUGGGAUAGUGGAAGGUGCCCCUGUCCACGGCAGGGGUGGGAUG